CACGAGAGCAUGAAUAACAGCAUCGAUAUUAAGAAACUGGAGGUGACAGCAAUCAGCUGUCGCGAUUUAUCGAAGCACUGCCGUCUCAAUUGCGGAACAAAACAAAGUAUUCUUUAUAUUAGAUUUUCGGGAAAAUUUUCCCGUUAACGGCGGUUUCGAAGACCGGCCCCGCCCUUUGCCGCAGCUGUGGCCCACUACUCCGCCCUGCCUCAGCCGCAGGCCACCCCGGAGGGUCAUCAACAAAGCAGACUAUCACUGAAGCUGGACUGAAAACUGGGACCCACACUGGCUACCGUCGACACCAUCGGCCUAAAGCCAGCCGAGCAGUCAAUGUGGCGCCGACAAGGACGUGCCAUACAUCAAUGAAAUGAGCGUGUGGAGCUGGGAGGAGUCACGUCGCUGGCCCUGGACCAGCAGUCCCAUAUGAUCCCCUGGCAAUCGAAUCGAUGGAAUGAACAAGUAAACAAGAAUAUGGGGAUCCUUUGGACACGUGUAAUCCCCUGAUCCCUCUCCGCAGGAAAACCCUUGUUUCCAUGCACAUCUCGCAUGCAAUCCUCCCAAAAAUCUCUCUUUGAUGAUGACGAACAGUAUGAUGUCACUGAUUUUUUUGGCUCAAAGAUAAUCUUCAUAUUAAGUUAACUAAAUAGGGUAUACAAAUGCCCAUACUCCGGUUGACAAGCAACAAGUCUUCAAAUACCAGCAACAUUGACGCGACAACUUUGCGACUGUUUCUUUGUUGAGCUCUUUUGCUUAAACUGUGUUUUGGUCAAAAUAAAAUAAAUGGGAGUACUUAAAAGUA
rnacentral:sRNA from 1 species